CUAGGAGUCGAAAAGAAAGAAUUCAUCACACAGUUAUAUAGUCAGAAUAUACAAACGACUUUUGAACAACCCUUUCACGAAGGCUAUAUAAAUAAAGUGCCAGUUACCAAUGAGUCGUACAGUUACCGUUACUAAGGUUAGAAGAUAUUACUUAAAGAUUUAGCGAUGGGAUAUCGUGCGCUGUUUCUUGUGGUAUUGAUUGGCAUGGCCCUGGCAGGGCCUGCCGCAGACAUCAGUCAGAUUAGGAUUACCAGUUGUACCUGCUCAGUAUGCAACUUUAAGCAGAUUGGUUAUGCGUUACGUGGUACUGUUCGGGCCAAGUUUAAUGGGUCACAGGUUAGUUGUUCACAAACGGCCAUAACCAACUGGAGACGUAUAGUUACUGGUUGGAAUCACAGCUGCAGAAUCAGUGGGUCCUCUGGAGGGAAGUUUGAAGUCAGUUAUAACAACGGGGCUCAUCAAAUAUGUGGAAGAAAUUACGAUCAUGUGUAUUUAAACAGUUGCCGCGGGACCCCGUGCAGUAACAUUGGUUAAGGACGUGGCAGAUUCUACUAAUACCUUAGUUGCUAUAAGAAUAUACUGUCAUUUUGUAUUGACGUUAGACAUAACAGAAAAAUAUAUUAAUUACCUGUGUAAGAUGAAUUAUGAAAUAAAGUUUAGUGUCUGUUA